rnacentral:lncRNA from 1 species
GAUUGUUUCUUUUUUUAUUUAUCAUUUGAACACUUAGUUAGUUGUUCAAAUGAAACUUAAGAAAUGGUAAUCAUUGAUGACAUAGAACAUUGGCACUCUAGGGCAACUUAGACACUUAAGUGAGGAUGCUUCAAUUAAGUAACAUGUUUUUGAAUGUACAUGGUUGUUGUGUUUGACAUCCAUACACACGCACAAGCAUGUGCAUGCAAAC